rnacentral:tRNA from 1 species
GUACUGGUCAAUUAUAUGCACGAAUAACAUAGGGCGGGUGGCGGUUGGUUAAUACUGGGGAGUCACAGGGGAUUGGUUUAACUCCAUUCAUAUAUGGGUUCAAGGAAUAGUUUAAGUAGAAUUUCAGCUUUGGGUGCUGAUGGUGGAACUUGGAGUUUCUUCCUUGA